ensembl:lncRNA
GCCAGAACGGCCAAACAAUAAUAACAAUUUGUUGGCCUCAAAUUUUUUGGCCUCUAAAAUGUGUUUAUUAUGAUCAAGUUCGAUCCCCAUGGACCACGUGCUGACACAGACCAAUCACGGGCCGGAAUGCUACGAGGAGGCUGGCGGGUGACUCUCUCAGGCAGGAGGAAAACAACUACAUCAACCAUGAUCCAUUACUAGAGGGGUGCGUCACUUGAGUGGGUUGAGUCACUGACGUGAUCUUCCUGUCUGGGUUGGAGCCCCCCCUUGGGCUGUGCCGUGGCGGAGAUCUUUGCGGGCUAUACUCGACCUUGUCUCAGGAUGGACCUGAGCCCUAGGACCAUGCCUCAGGACUACCUGGCAUGAUGACUCCUUGCUGUCCCCAGUCCACCUGGCCGUGCUGCUGCUCCAGUUUCAACUGUUCUGCCUGCGGCUAUGGACCCUGACCUGUUCACCGGACCUGCUACCUGUCCCAGACCUGCUGUUUUCAACUCUCUAUAGACAGCACGAGCGGUAGAGAUACUCUUAAUGAUCGGCUAUGAAAAGCCAACUGACAUUUACUCCUGAGGUGCUGACUUGUUGCACCCUCGACAACUACUGUGAUUAAUAUUAUUUGACC